CAUUGAGAGUACCGUUUCAAACAAAAGAAGAUUAAUACAUUGACGAAACUCAUAACUAACUAACAUAACUAUUAAUACAUAACUGGAAUGAAAUAAACAAAAACGUGUUCCUAUGUUGAGACAGGUGUUGUUAGGAGGACAUGAUGAGACAGGUGUUGUUAGGAGGACAUGAUGAGACAGGUGUUGUUAGGAGACAGGUGUUGUUAGGAGACAGGUGUUGUUAGGAGACAGGUGUUGUUAGGAUAUGUUGAGACAGGUGUUGUUAGGAGACAGGUGUUGUUAGGAUAUGAUGAGACAGGUGUUGUUAGGAGACAGGUGUUGUUAGGAUAUGUUGAGACAGGUGUUGUUAGGAGACAGGUGUUGUUAGGAGGAUAUGAUGAGACAGGUGUUGUUAGGAGGACAUGAUGAGACAGGUGUUGUUAGGAGGACAUGAUGAGACAGGUGUUGUUAGGAGGACAUGAUGAGACAGGUGUUGUUAGGAGGACAUGAUGAGACAGGUGUUGUUAGGAGGACAUGAUGAGACAGGUGUUGUUAGGAGGACAUGAUGAGACAGGUGUUGUUAGGAGGAUAUGAUGAGACAGGUGUUGUUAGGAGGACAUGAUGAGACAGGUGUUGUUAGGAGGACAUGAUGAGACAGGUGUUGUUAGGAGACAGGUGUUGUUAGGAGACAGGUGUUGUUAGGAGACAGGUGUUGUUAGGAGACAGGUGUUGUUAGGAGGACAUGAUGAGACAGGUGUUGUUAGGAGGACAUGAUGAGACAGGUGUUGUUAGGAGGACAUGAUGAGACAGGUGUUGUUAGGAGGACAUGAUGAGACAGGUGUUGUUAGGAGGACAUGAUGAGACAGGUGUUGUUAGGAGACAGGUGUUGUUAGGAGACAGGUGUUGUUAGGAGACAGGUGUUGUUAGGAGACAGGUGUUGUUAGGAGGAUAUGAUGAGACAGGUGUUGUUAGGAGGACAUGAGGAGACAGGUGUUGUUAGGAGACAGGUGUUGUUAGGAGACAGGUGUUGUUAGGAUAUGUUGAGACAGGUGUUGUUAGGAGACAGGUGUUGUUAGGAGACAGGUGUUGUUAGGAGGACAUGAUGAGACAGGUGUUGUUAGGAGACAGGUGUUGUUAGGAGACAGGUGUUGUUAGGAGGAUAUGAUGAGACAGGUGUUGUUAGGAGGACAUGAUGAGACAGGUGUUGUUAGGAGGACAUGAUGAGACAGGUGUUGUUAGGAGGACAUGAUGAGACAGGUGUUGUUAGGAGGACAUGAUGAGACAGGUGUUGUUAGGAGACAGGUGUUGUUAGGAGACAGGUGUUGUUAGGAGACAGUUGUUGUUAGGAGACCGGUGUUGCUAGGAGACAGGUGUUGUUAGGACAUGAUGAGACAGGUGUUGUUAGGAGGACAUGAUGAGACAGGUGUUGUUAGGAGGACAUGAUGAGACAGGUGUUGUUAGGAGGACAUGAUGAGACAGGUGUUGUUAGGAGACAGGUGUUGUUAGGAGACAGGUGUUGUUAGGAGACAGGUGUUGUUAGGAGAAUAUGAUGAGACAGGUGUUGUUAGGAGGAUAUGAUGAGACAGGUGUUGUUAGGAGACAGGUGUUGUUAGGAGGAUAUGAUGAGACAGGUGUUGUUAGGAGGACAUGAUGAGACAGGUGUUGUUAGGAGGAUAUGAUGAGACAGGUGUUGUUAGGAGGACAUGAUGAGACAGGUGUUGUUAGGAGACAGGUGUUGUUAGGAUAUGAUGAGACAGGUGUUGUUAGGAGGAUAUGAUGAGACAGGUGUUGUUAGGAUAUGAUGAGACAGGUGUUGUUAGGAGACAGGUGUUGUUAGGAGGACAUGAUGAGACAGGUGUUGUUAGGAGGAUAUGAUGAGACAGGUGUUGUUAGGAGGACAUGGUGAGACAGGUGUUGUUAGGAGGAUAUGAUGAGACAGGUGUUGUUAGGAGACAGGUGUUGUUAGGAGGAUAUGAUGAGACAGGUGUUGUUAGGAGGAUAUGAUGAGACAGGUGUUGUUAGGAGACAGGUGUUGUUAGGAGGAUAUGAUGAGACAGGUGUUGUUAGGAGGACAUGAUGAGACAGGUGUUGUUAGGAGGAUAUGAUGAGACAGGUGUUGUUAGGAGACAGGUGUUGUUAGGAGGACAUGAUGAGACAGGUGUUGUUAGGAGGACAUGAUGAGACAGGUGUUGUUAGGAGGACAUGAUGAGACAGGUGUUGUUAGGAGGACAUGAUGAGACAGGUGUUUAACAGCCAUUAAACUCAGUAACUGUUUUAAAGUCACCGUUGGCCUCAUGGUGAAAUCCCUGAGUAGUUUCCUUCCUCUCCGGCAACUGAUUUAGGAAGGACGCCUGUAUCUUUGUAUUGACGGUGUGUCAAUACACACCCAAUCCAAAGUGUAAUU